CUUCAUCUGUAAAUCUCUUCUGUUUUUUUAUUCUAUCUAUUCUUCCUAUCAUCUGCAAAUCUCUUCAUUAUGUCCUCUCUAAUUUUCCCUUCUUCCUCUUCAUUUGUAUCACUAACAUUUCAAAGUCAAUCUACUACUACAGUAGCUUUAGAAACUUCUACGAUGAAAAUCAGAUUCAUUCUCAUUUCUUAGACGCUUAUGAGGAAUAUUGUAAAUCAUCUCUGCAUAUCUAUAAAAGUAGAAAUUUCACCUCAGAUAUGCAUAGAGAGUAACCGGUUUUACCUCAGAUCUGUAAUUUUUUCAGAAUAUAUUUUUUCGUCCUCAUAUCUGUAAUUUUUUCAGAUUAUAUUUUUUCUCAGAUCGAAAUCAUGUUGAUGAUGAAUAUAACUUGAUCCAACACUUUCAAUCGACAACAUCACCAGCUCCGGCAGCUUGUCCAGUUGUAAAUGAUCUAUGAACGAUCGAACAUUCGUGCAUAUUUAGAAAUGUUGACGGUUAGUGCAUAUUUAGAAUAUUCGCCCAUCGGAUUAAGCAGAUUUAUUGCGGAGGAUCUUGACAGCUACAGUUACAAUUGCUCAUCAGCGGGUUUCUGAUGUUAAUUUGCGAUUACUUGUUUUACGACCGCCGAGUGCCAAUAGCUUGCUAAAGAUGUUGACGGUUGGGUAGAUUUCAGAUUAUAUUUUUUUUAGAAAUUUUUAGUAUCACCGAGAGCCAAUAGCUCUCGUAAAAGUUAUUAAAUGUCUCUGAGGGCGACAAAUGCUAUGUUGGGUCAAAUUAUUUUGACUAAGUGUUCCAAUAAUUUAACCACUUAUUUUUUUUUAUGAUGAAAUAAUUUAUGAGUUUUGAUA